UGAGCUAUUAAAGAGAGUGUUUCGUACAGUGAUAUACACGUAAACCCAUCUUUUUAAUUCUAUAUUUACAACCGAAACAAACUCAACAAACAUUUAUAGAGCCCAAUCAUAUGUACCCAGCACUUCAAAGAGUUGACGAAAAUUCAGUUACAUCAGGACGUUUUUAUUUAUUCAUCGGUGGAAGUUGGUUACAUUUUUCCCAUUCCCUCUCUUUCUCUCUCUCUUUUUAUCUGUCGAAUUUUGUUCAUUUCAGGCGUACGUGGCCGGCAUUUAAAUCGCUGGAAAAUGCCACGGAUUCGAUGGCCAGAAGUCUGGUGACAUCGAUAACGAGCCUUUAUGUAUACAGGGAUUUUUCAAAAGUAUAUCUCAGGAUUAUACCAACACCCAGUAUGCAGAGUUUACGUUCGAAGAGAAUAAACGAAACGUUUGUAACCAGGACAAAGAGACGAAUCGUGAAAGAGAGAAAACAAUGACACGAAGAUUUCAUUCGUGAUCCACGAGCUGGCUUUCAUUUCAAUGAAAUGACUUCGACCGACUCGUUUCUCCGCGAGGCACUGCCUUUUCUCUAUCUUCUCUCAUUAUACAAGGAGAAAAGACGAAAACCUGGAGAAGAAACCGCGAUAAUCGGCGGAAACCGACUCGUUUUCUGUUCCAAGCAGAAAGGGAUGGCGAGGGGAUGGAUGGAUGAAUUCGUGGAUAGCGCAAGAAUGAUGAGGGUGGAGCAUUCGGUUGUUUCACAUCAAAGGGACGUUUUGUCCCGCGCUUGGAUUUGCACGGUGACCGGAGGGGGUAGCUCGCCGCAGUGCGCGAGGGCAUAUAGGGUUGCCGAUAGGAGGGAGGAAGUGGAGGAGAUGAGAGAGAGAAGAUUCGUGUGAGGGAUUUUUUUUUGAAGGAAUAUUGGAUUCGAGGAAAGACAGAGAAUUUGAGUAUUUAUGCUCGAAGAGGAAAGCGAAAGGGAUGAUUUUUAUUAUGAAAAUUUUAUUAUAAAAAAGUGUAUUAUUGUAAGAAAUAUGGAUUAGGUUUUAUUAAUUAUUUUUAUCAAAUUGCUAAGAAUGAAGUUUCAAGUAUUGUUAUUUCGUGGGAACAUGAUCGAACUAAUAAAGUAAUUUAUUAGAUAAAAUAAAAUAAAGAUAGAUAAUA